UAGGAUUUGGUUAGGAUUUGGUUUAGGAUUUAGGAUUUGAUUUAGAAUUUAGGGUUUGAUUUAGGAUUUAAGAUUUGGUUUAUGAUUUAGGAUUUGAUUAGGAUUUGAUUUAGGAUUUAGGAUUUGGUUAGGAUUUGAUUUAGGAUUAGGAUUUGAUUCAGGAUUAGGGUUUGAUUAAGAGUUGAUUUAGAGUUUAGGAUUUGAUUAGAAUUUGAUUUAGGAUUUUAUUAGGAUUUAUUUAGGAUUUAAGAUUUAGUUAAUUUUUGACCUAAAGUUUAAAUGAAGUCCAAUUAAUAGGAUUUUAACUAGAAUUAAAUUAAGAUUGAAUUAAAAUUAUUAUGGUUUAAUUAAAGUUUAAUUAGUAUUCUAUUAGAUUUAGGAUUUUGCUGUUACAAUUUCUAUUCUACCUUCUAUAGCGAGAUGCCCAAAGCAUUCUCAACCAAGACUUCAUAUAUUAGAACAACAGUCACAUUUAAAAAAAAUGAUUAAAAAAGAGUGGCAAAGAUUAAGUUCUUAAAUUUAUGGCAAGCAUCA
rnacentral:lncRNA from 1 species